AGUGAACGCUGGCGGUAGGCCUAACACAUGCAAGUCGAACGGCAGCACAGUAAGAGCUUGCUCUUACGGGUGGCGAGUGGCGGACGGGUGAGGAAUACAUCGGAAUCUACUUUUUCGUGGGGGAUAACGUAGGGAAACUUACGCUAAUACCGCAUACGACCUACGGGUGAAAGCAGGGGAUCUUCGGACCUUGCGCGAUUGAAUGAGCCGAUGUCGGAUUAGCUAGUUGGCGGGGUAAAGGCCCACCAAGGCGACGAUCCGUAGCUGGUCUGAGAGGAUGAUCAGCCACACUAGAACUGAGACACGGUCCAGACUCCUACGGGAGGCAGCAGUGGGGAAUAUUGGACAAUGGGCGCAAGCCUGAUCCAGCCAUACCGCGUGAGUGAAGAAGGCCUUCGGGUUGUAAAGCCCUUUUGUUGGGAAAGAAAAGCAGCAGGUUAAUACCCCGCUGUUCUGACGGUACCCAAAGAAUAAGCACCGGCUAACUUCGUG
rnacentral:rRNA from 1 species